AUAGCCAACCAACCACUGAAAUUCAUAUCUGUGGUUAAUAUUUAAAAAGAUCUUACCCUUUGGAUAUCAUAACACAUACACAUAUAAUUUUCAUAGAUUUGACAAGGACUAUACUGUAGUAUUCCUCAACUAACAUUCACAAAUCAAUGGUUAUGCUAUGUUACUUUAUCAUUUUUACAGUGCUUUAACAUAUCGCACUAUGUUUUACACAUUUUAUCGAUAUGGUAAGUGAAGUUCGUGGAAUUAGGGGAAAGAAUUCCAUUGCCAGAGCGUAAAGAAGCUUGUCUCAAAUCCAGCUUCCCUAAUUCUUUUUACUAUGCCUAUGGUGCUUCAUGCAGCUAUUAGUAUGAAAAGAAGAUUUAUUGACAAGCAUUAAAAUUAUUAAUGGUCAUAGAAAUAGUACCAUCAACAUCCUAAAAACAGUAGCGUAAGCCUUGGAAUAGCUGUUCUCCUGUUCUCCUGUUAACACUAGCCACAUUAUCACAAGUGUAUUUCUAAAUAUUAUAAAUUAUGAAUUUGUCUACAGCUUCCUUCUGGAGGAAAUAACCUCAACAUGUGCACUGAGAGGAAACCAUAAAUCAGUCACUGCAGCAAAUGAUUGUUUUCUACUUUCUAAUCAACACUACCUAAAUAUCCACCCUCAUUUUUCUUAUACUAUAAUUGUACAGAAUCAUUACUCUUUUUUUAAUUCUUAGCCCGUUGAAAGAUUUAUAUUUUCUUGCCAUACACCUUGAUACUGAUAUUAUUUCCCAGGAAAAAUGAUAUUUUAGCAUGGCUAUAAUGCUCUGCAUGGCACUAAUAUUACAGAGUCUAUCUGUAAAAUGCCUAUGUGAUAAACAGGAUAAUUCCAUUUAAAUAAGAAUAGUGUGGGAGACAUAAACCAGGGGAUAGAUUCGACGAGACAUCUUACUCUUCUGCGAGGACUGUAGAUAACACCUUAUGCCUGGUAACUUAUGGAAGAAAAGCACUUAAAUAUUACUAAGGCUGAGAAAUAAGGAAGGGGCUCAUUGAACAUUGAUCAUGGACCAGUACCUAUCUCAUACACUUUGCUUAUAUGUUAUAAUGUUUAUGAAACUGGCCCAAUUGUCCUAUAGAACUGAUGUUUAUGGUUUCUUUUGAAAAAAUAAAAAUAAAAAGUUGACCCUCCCAGUAUUAAAACUGAAGAAACUUACACUUUUCUUAUCUGAGUUCCUUUCUCAGGAAACCAACUAUCAGCCCUCCAAGAUAGUUUCAAGGAACUGCAACUCACCAGAUAACUGCACCUGGACAAUGAGAUGCCAGACCCAGACCCCUUGCCAAUUAUGGUUGCCUAAGUAACCUGCUGCUGCCUGUUGACCACCUUCUCUUCUUAAUCCUCUCCUAAUUCCUAUUUUUCCAUACUUAGUUACAUUUCUUCCCUUAUUUUUCUACCUCUAAUUUUAGUCCAUUGAGAAGAUGGAUUUUUGAGUGAUGUCCCAUUCUCCUUGGCUGCAGCAUCCAAAUAAAGCCCCUUUCCCUGGCAAUACUCAUUGUUUCAGUGACUGGCUUUCUGUGAAGCAAGCAACAGGACCUAGACUGAACUCUUGAUGUUUCAGUAACAUUUAGUUACACUCCUAGAAAAUAUGGAAAGAAUGUCCAGAUGUUGUUUUUGGAGAAGAAGAACUACAAAGUUAGAGCAAAUACUCUUAUUUAUAAGAAGAAUGAACUCAGUGUGUGAGAAGGAGAAUACAAAUGCAACAGCCUCAAAUUAGCAGUGGAUGCCUACUGGGCUCCUGCAACCGCUUUCCACGGGUGAGCAAACUCUCAAAGCUUGAGCUGUUGCUCAGGUUUUCCCUAGGGAAGUGUUGAUGGUGUCCUGGGGACACUGCACUGCAGUGAUGGCCAGCAAGCCUUGUAAAUACAAAGCAUGGUACAGGAUAUGCAUGAUAAAAUCACCUUGCUCAAAUAAAUGCAGCAGGAAAAAUGGAUUUCAUCUUCUGAUUCCUUUAGGUUCCACCAGAUGGCUAGCUGGUAAUGACCCAGACACCUCUGAGUAAACUCCCAGAAAGCCUGACAAAUAUGUUGCAAACUUAGCCAUAUGUAGAGUGGCUACACCACAUUUGCAACGCUCUCUUAACAGCAUGACCUUCUUUAAUAGUGAUCACUUCCAUUUUUAGGCCCUUUAUGCAUUACUUUUGUCAUUUUAUAUUGCUUCUUUUUUUCUGAUCCUUGCAAAAACCCUGCCAAGAAAGCAAGAAAAUAUGUUUCCCCCUCAGGACCUGGACAACAUCAGAUAGAAUGUGUCACAUAAAUAUGUAUUCAUAAUGAAAGUUUUAUAGGUAUUAAAAAUGAAAGCUCAAAAUGGCUAGGUGAUAUUCCUCAAUUCAUAUGAACAUAGAUCUCUUACCUUUUUUCUUGAUAUUAUAUUGAAUAUGUAAAGAUAUUUGAAAUAGUUUAUAUAUGAGUAAUUAAACCAGCUCAUCUUUUUCUCUGUUAUCUUCUUUAUUGCUUUAAAUCUUACAAACCCGUUUACCAACCAAAACUAAAGAACCAACUAUAUUGCUUUAAAUUGUAAAAAUAUGUAAGUAUCCACACAUAGACAUACAGGAGUUAGAAUCCCAAAGGGAAAUACUUUUUACCAGACAUAGAGGGAACCAGAAUAGACAUAAAGCCAUAAGGACACCCUGAGUGUCAAAAAGAGAUCUCAGAGUUCUCUACAGUUUUAUUACUGUUUUUAGAUUUUCACUCAUUCAUAAGAUUAUAUUGGUGGCAACCAUUUAGUCCAUUUAAUUAUGCCCCCAAUCUGUCACAGUUGAGACAAAAGUUGACCAACCUAGUAUAAUCAGAAAACUUAUUCUUGGAGUUUGAAGCAAAAAUUAGAUUAAAAUGUUUUUGGAUGUGACUGGAUCAUGUUAGUGGUUAUCUACAGGGCACAAAGUCCAGCCUUCAGAAAGAAAGUAUAGAAAAAAUAGAUAAAACUCUUAGAGGAUAGAAGGAGAAAAAAAAGAGAGAGAGAAUAUUGAUUAAUUUUCUCUUAGUUCGUUCCAGAAAUUUUCUCAGACCAAGUUGUACUUCAAUCUUUUGGUUCCUUUAGUCACCACCCUCUUCUUUUUUGAUUUUUCCAAUUUGUGUUAACACUUGCCUGUAUUGAUCUCUUGCAUUUGCAGCCACAUGAAUGUGAAAUCCAUAAGGGCAGAGAGUUUUGCUGGUUUUGUUCACUAUCAUGUCCCUUAACACCUAAAAUAAUGCUUAGCAUGUAGAAAUCUCUCAAUAAGUAGCUUUUGCAUGAAUGAAUGAAUUAAAUUAAAUGAAUGAAAGAACAAAAGAAUAUUAACUAAAUAAAGCCAAGGGUCAGGAAUUAAACAUAUCACAAACAUGCUUGGAAUCUUUUACUACAUAAUUGCCUGCAGAAUAUCAUUACUAUACAGUAACACCUAGAGAACAUCCGUAAAUUAAAUAGUUUGAUUUACUGAAAGGACUAAUUUUAUAUCAGCAAAAAUGACUUUAGUAAUUUUCAGAUAAACAUUUGUCAAACGUAUAAUCUUGAAACUAUUUUCUUUAUCUCUCCUUUCUAUAAAUAUAAUGAACAAGUAUUUAAUAAAAGACUUCUUGUUUGUGACACAA